ACUACAAAAAAAAGGACCUUGUAUGGCGGACUUUAGAUGGCGGAUUUCCGCCAUCAAUACUUCAAUAGUUUAGAUGGCGGAUGUCCGCCAUCUAUUCUUUCAGUCCGCCGAGGAAACGUUUUGGCUCGACGGCGGUUCGAAAUUUUUUUCGAUGGCGGUGUUUAGAUGGCGGAUUUCCGCUAUCUAAACUAUCCCGCCCAAAAUUUCGAAUCGCCCCCAAUUUCCAGCCCGAUUACCCGAUUAAAUUGACUUAAGAUGGCGGAAAUCCGCCAUCUUAAGUCUUCGGGGACUCGGGCGGAAAAAGCCCGCCCAAAUUUCGAUUGGGCGGACUUU
rnacentral:lncRNA from 1 species